UACGUAGGUGGCAAGCGUUGUCCGGAAUUACUGGGUGUAAAGCGCGUGUAGGCGGGAGGCCAAGUCUGCUGUGAAAUCGCCCGGCUCAACUGGGCGGGGUCGGUGGAAACUGGUCACCUGGAGGACGGUAGAGGCGAGUGGAAUUCCCGGUGUAGUGGUGAAAUGCGUAGAGAUCGGGAGGAACACCAGUGGCGAAGGCGGCUCGCUGGGCCGGCCCUGACGCUGAGACGCCGAAGGCGUGGGGAGCGAACGGG
rnacentral:rRNA from 1 species